GAUACAAUGAGAGAAUGAUGGUACCCGGGGAUGUGCUGAAUGACCAGAAGAGUCCUUCAGUGACAGUGAUGAAUUAGGAUGAAUCAUGUCAACGUGAUACCAGGAGAACUUCUUUACCGGAAGGCCUCUCAGGUAGAUACCUGGAAGACUGUUAUUUACCUCUUUGGAUGUUAAUCCAGGCACAAACCUUGCCA